CAUUUGGGGACUCACCUUUUAUUUUUCAUCAUUUGGGGAUCGACGGUGGAAAAGUGGUUAUUUUCCGGAGAUAGAAAAUACAAGUUAGAGCAGACUCCUGACUCUUGGACGACCCUAAGAGAAAUUCAUGAAUUAUCUCCAUUCUCUUUCAAAGAACAUACGCUAAUCUCAGCCAGGUACUUAGGUUGUUGCAAUGGAACCAAAACCAUGCAUUGUUGUUCAUCACGGUGGAUGUUGGAAAUCAGUUCAUGGCGGUAUGGGAUACGAGGGUGGGUCUACCACAAUAUUCAAUGAUUUGGCCGAGGAUUUAGAUGCAUCAUAUCUUAGAAAAUUAGUAUCAAAUUUGGGGUACACUAAUCUAAGUAAGUUGCAUUAUUUGGAUCCUAGGAAAUCUAUUGUUGAUGGUAUUAGGUUCCUUGGAUAUGAUUAUGGGGGAGAACAAACUUUGCGGUCAACGACAAUAAUGAAUGACAAUGCUCAAUUACCAUCACAAUCAACACAAAAUAGUGUUACUUCCUCUAAUCAUAGCUUUAUUGCUCCAAACGGAAGAAAUUAUAUAUACUCUAAGGCAUUACAGGAUUUGGCUAACAAAAAUAGAGGCCACUACAACCGAGAUUGAUCAGAAGGUGCAAAAGAUUUUAAAGUCCAGGUAAAUUCAUUUCUCUACUUAUAAGCUAGACAAUACUACUUUGCUAAAUGUGUAAAAUGACUCAUCACUUUGGAGCUGGGAUUACCUGAUAUGGGAUUACUAGAGCAGCAUCUAUAUGGCUUCUGUUAUCUUGUCUCGUUUUUUUUUUUUUUUUUUAUUUUAAAAAAAAAGUAGCCUAUGUAAAUGCAUUCACAAGGUGCUCAAACUCUCAAAUUACCUUGUUGUCUAAUGCUUCGAUCUUUUUUUUGGUAUAGUACUAUGUGUCUAUGCCUUCUCAUGGAGCUGAUUAUUUCUCAUUUUUAUCUUGAAUAUUAGAGGUUCAGAUGC